rnacentral:rRNA from 1 species
GACAGAGGGGGCAAGCGUUGCUCGGAAUUACUGGGCGUAAAGCGCACGUAGGCGGAUCUUUAAGUCAGGGGUGAAAUCCUGGAGCUCAACUCCAGAACUGCCUUUGAUACUGGGGAUCUCGAGUCCGGAAGAGGUAAGUGGAACUCCGAGUGUAGAGGUGAAAUUCGUAGAUAUUCGGAAGAACACCAGUGGCGAAGGCGGCUUACUGGUCCGGUACUGACGCUGAGGUGCGAAAGCGUGGGGAGCAAACAGG